UCAAACAGUGGUUGAAGAAGUGGAUUAAAAAGUGUGAUGAUGACAGUGAGACCUCUAAUUGGAUUGCCGCCAAUACAAAGGAGUGUCCCAAAUGCCAUGUCACAAUUGAGAAGGAUGGCGGUUGUAAUCACAUGGUCUGUCGUAACCAGAACUGUAAAGCAGAGUUUUGCUGGGUGUGUCUUGGCCCAUGGGAACCACAUGGAUCUGCCUGGUACAACUGUAACCGCUACAAUGAGGAUGAUGCAAAGGCAGCAAGAGAUGCCCAGGAGGUAAGUACAUUCAUUUUCAAGUAACAGUUGAGCAGGAAUGUGCGUUAUAUG